UUAACUUAUUCAAAUAAUACGGCACUGGGCCAACUCAGACGGCUGAUUCAAAUGUUUGCAUUGGUAAGGCCCUUUCCCAGGGACCCGCUUAGUGAUAUUAACUCAGCUAGCAUGCAGGAUUGGACAUUAACUGAAACCAACCACCUGGGAAAGCAACAUGGAUUGGUACACAGGGAGGGUUUGUGUCAGAGAACACUUUUGUGUCCCAUAAACAAAUAAUGAUCCUUCCGCAGGUUCACCUACGGAAA
rnacentral:misc_RNA from 1 species